GUCCACGCUGUAAACGAUGUCGACUUGGAGGUUGUGCCCUUGAGGCGUGGCUUCCGGAGCUAACGCGUUAAGUCGACCGCCUGGGGAGUACGGCCGCAAGGUUAAAACUCAAAUGAAUUGACGGGGGCCCGCACAAGCGGUGGAGCAUGUGGUUUAAUUCGAUGCAACGCGAAGAACCUUACCUACUCUUGACAUCCAGAGAAUUUGCUAGAGAUAGCUUAGUGCCUUCGGGAACUCUGAGACAGGUGCUGCAUGGCUGUCGU
rnacentral:rRNA from 1 species